CAGUCGCCACGGUAAUACGUAGGUCCCGAGCGUUGUCCGGAUUUAUUGGGCGUAAAGCGAGCGCAGGCGGUUAGAUAAGUCUGAAGUUAAAGGCUAUGGCUUAACCAUAGUACGCUUUGGAAACUGUUUAACUUGAGUGCAAGAGGGGAGAGAGGAAUUCCAUGUGUAGCGGUGAAAUGCGUAGAUAUAUGGAGGAACACCGGUGGCGAAAGCGGCUCUCUGGCUUGUAACUGACGCUGAGGCUCGAAAGCGUGGGGAGCAAACAGGAUUAGAUACCCCAGUAGUCCCUGUCUCUUAUACA
rnacentral:rRNA from 1 species